rnacentral:lncRNA from 1 species
UAUCAGACCCUAGAUGUGUCCUCAUUCAUAUGUUGUAAUUUAAAAUUGAUCUUUGUAUUGUUCUCUCCAGGUGUGAAGAAACAUCACCAGUAGAGAUCCAGGACACAUGUUUUACUUCUUUGAAUUCUCUCAGGAAGAGAAGAGCCGGAAAGACCCACAUUAAGGUGGAUAACCAUACAUAAGAACCUUUGAGGGCCUUACCAUCUUUUUUAUGUCUGAUGCCAUGGCCGGAAUGGAAUAAGGUUGGCAAACACGUUGCCUAUUUACUUCAUAGAGACCCCAAUGGAGAACAAGACUGUUUGAACUCCAGAAGGAC